GAUGAACGCUGGCGGCGUGCCUAAUACAUGCAAGUCGAGCGAACAGAUGAGGAGCUUGCUCCUCUGACGUUAGCGGCGGACGGGUGAGUAACACGUUGAUAACCUACCUAUAAGACUGGGAUAACUUCGGGAAACCGGAGCUAAUACCGGAUAAUAUAUUGAACCGCAUGGUUCAAUAGUGAAAGACGGUUUUGCUGUCACUUAUAGAUGGAUCCGCGCCGCAUUAGCUAGUUGGUAAGGUAACGGCUUACCAAGGCAACGAUGCGUAGCCGACCUGAGAGGGUGAUCGGCCACACUGGAAGUGAGACACGGUCCAGACUCCUACGGGAGGCAGCAGUAGGGAAUCGUCCGCAAUGGGCGAAAGCCUGACGGAGCAACGCCGCGUGAGUGAUGAAGGUCUGCGGAUCGUAAAACUCUGUUAUUAGGGAAGAACAAAUGUGUAAGUAACGAUGCACGUCUGGACGGUACCUAAACAGAAAGCCACGGCUAACUACGU
rnacentral:rRNA from 1 species